GCGUGUGACUGCGUACCUUUUGUAUAAUGGGUCAGCGACUUAUAUUCUGUAGCAAGGUUAACCGAAUAGGGGAGCCGAAGGGAAACCGAGUCUUAACUGGGCGUUAAGUUGCAGGGUAUAGACCCGAAACCCGGUGAUCUAGCCAUGGGCAGGUUGAAGGUUGGGUAACACUAACUGGAGGACCGAACCGACUAAUGUUGAAAAAUUAGCGGAUGACUUGUGGCUGGGGGUGAAAGGCCAAUCAAACCGGGAGAUAGCUGGUUCUCCCCGAAAGCUAUUUAGGUAGCGCCUCGUGAAUUCAUCUCCGGGGGUAGAGCACUGUUUCGGCAAGGGGGUCAUCCCGACUUACCAACCCGAUGCAAACUGCGAAUACCGGAGAAUGUUAUCACGGGAGACACACGGCGGGUGCUAACGUCCGUCGUGAAGAGGGAAACAACCCAGACCGCCAGCUAAGGUCCCAAAGUCAUGGUUAAGUGGGAAACGAUGUGGGAAGGCCCAGACAGCCAGGAUGUUGGCUUAGAAGCAGCCAUCAUUUAAAGAAAGCGUAAUAGCUCACUGGUCGAGUCGGCCUGCGCGGAAGAUGUAACGGGGCUAAACCAUGCAC
rnacentral:rRNA from 1 species